AAUAGAUACCCGGGUAGUCCUAGCCAUCAACGAUGGAUACUGGAUAUUCCUGCGACUCAUGUGGGAGUGUCGAAGCCAACGCGUUAAGUAUCCCGCCUGGGGAGUACGGUCGCAAGAUUGAAACUCAAAGGAAUUGACGGGGGCCCGCACAAGCGGUGGAGCAUGUGGUUUAAUUCGACGCAACGCGAAGAACCUUACCUGGGCUUGAACUGUCGGUAUAGGGACCCGAAAGGGCGACGAUCCCGGGCAACCGGGAAGCCGAUAGAGGUGCUGCAUGGCUGUCGUCAGCUCGUGUCGUGAGAUGUUGGGUUAAGUCCCGCAACGAGCGCAACCCUUGUCUUUAGUUGCCAGCGAGUCAUGUCGGGCACUCUAAGGAGACUGCCUCGGAUAACGAGGAGGAAGGUGGGGAUGACGUCAAGUCAGCAUGGCCUUUAUGUCCAGGGCUACACACGUGCUACAAUGGGCGGCACAGAAGGACGCGAGACCGCGAGGUCAAGCCAACCCUUAAAACCGUUCUCAGUUCGGAUUGCAGGC
rnacentral:rRNA from 1 species